CGAUGAUGGAAACUGGAAAGCUGAAGAAACUGAAACUGAACAGACGGAACUGAGAUCACUUGUGAGAUUAAUUUACUUGAAUGUUUUAAAUAUUUCACUAAAUGUUCCUAAGCGGAAGUCUUUGUGGCCUGAGUCUAUCUAGGGUUACAAUCUAAAUUGUGGGAUAGUUUCAUCCACUUCUCGUGUUAAACAAUAGCUGUUUUUCAACAUAAAUUGGAAUAUGGUAUGUACACUGACUUUGAUACUAAAUACACAGUGUAAAGGGGUAUUGGGGGAAGUAUUCCCCUCGUGUUCCUGGCACGCUUCGAUUACUGCACUCGGACGCGGCGGGUUAAGCCACAAAAGCAUUUUUGCAGCAUUGGAUGAGUUGCCUCCGCGAAGCACACCCCCUCCGAAGGCCCCGCCGCCCAUGGCUCUAAUGCUGGGCCUGGCCAAGGGUUAACUCCGAUGACGUCAAUGGCGGUGCUUGUCAAACGCAUGCAGGGGUUUUCAGGUUUAAGGUUUAAGGCUGCAGGGGGGCGUGCUGCUGACACAUUGCAACAUGCAACAAGCGGGCUCAACAACACACAAAGCCGAAGCUGCAAAAAUUCAGCCAUGCUGAAACUUCCUGUUGACGUCGUCAACAUAGUUGGCAGUUGGCCGUGUUGCUGCUGAUGCUGCUGCUGCUGCUAUUUCUGCAGUUUCUGGUGCAGCUGCAGGUUAAGGGUCAGCAGAAGGGGUUCGACUGGAGGGAGGUCACCGCUGCCCCGAAAGUAAAAACUUGCUCUCCUUUGUUGGCCCCAAAAUGUUCGUGCUCCAGUGGCUGGCUGAUGGCUUGUUGCAACGCUUAAUGGCCCAACUUUGCCGCAGACAAUUUUCCCUCUUUCGGAUGAGUUUAUUAAUUUAAUUUCAGCACCAAAAGUCCCUCUUUCUGCGCUUUAUCUGUAACAGGCGCCUGACGACAGGAGAGCAAAUGGAAAUCCUGUGGAAACGGAUUAUGUUCAGCGUUUCACAUCCCUUAAUGAAGUUAAACUUAAAACACAACAGUAAAGUAGACUAAUGGGCUUGUAUUAACCUUAAUCAAUUUUCUGGUGGACCACCGUAUUUUGUUUUAAAUAUUUACUUUGGCAAUGGAACUUUAUCUUUUAGAAUUGGUUUGAGUAUACUAUGAUCAAUAUACGAUAUAUUGUAGAUUUAUAAACUCCACAAUGUAUGAAUUAAUUAAACAAUUAAGAUAUUUUUUUUAAUUAAAAAACAGUUAGCAACCAUUAAAAAAGCUGUUAGUAUUAAGGUUUUCGGUAGGCAUUCCUAAGACAACCAAUCACUUCCGUCCCACUUUCCACUGUAUAAUAAAAUUGAUUGUACAUAUAUGCAAUGCAA